UGCGCAUCCGCCGCCAUCCGCGCCCGGUGCCGCCCCCGCGGGACCUCCGAUGGCUCCCGGGGCCGCGCGGCGCCGCUCCAGAGGGGGAUCCAGACGGAUUCAAGAAGCCGCCGUGGAGAAGGAAGUGGAUUCGAGGGAGCUGCCGCCGUAAUUAACCCAAUUUUGGUUAAUUAGGGCUGUGAAUGCCGUGAGACGCGGAGCUCCGUCCCGGCAGGGUUCGUUUGUCAGCACCGCCCGCCCGGGCUCGCUCCCUGCUGACCCACAGCGAUUCAGGAAAGCAGCAGGACGGAGGAAGUGGCCGCGGCGCUCUCGUCACCGUAAUUAACCCAGUUGUGGUUAAUUAAUGCUGCCAGCACAGGGUGUGCUGCUGUCACCUGCCCGUCCCACCCUUCCCGGGCCGUUAUCCCCCAGGGAUUGAUUUAUCCAGGAUGGAAGGAGGAGCUGGAGCAGAUUCCGUGGGGAAAAUGAGGAUUCAGAAGUGCCGAAGUUAGGGAAUUAAACGUGAACCUGUAGUUUUUC